AUGGCUUCUCGGCCUUUUGGCCAAGAUCAAGUGUAGUAUCUGUUCACGUCAGCUUAAUAGUGGCCGGCUAAACGUCCUGCCCAAUGUGGGACAGUCCUACACAAAAUGUCAAUCGUGCCGCACUAGAAAGCAUU
rnacentral:snRNA from 1 species